UACGUAGGUGGCAAGCGUUGUCCGGAUUUACUGGGCGUAAAGAGCGCGCAGGCGGUCGUUCAAGUCGCGUGUGAAAGCCCCCGGCUCAACUGGGGAGGGUCACGCGAUACUGAUCGACUGGAAGGCAGGAGAGGGUAGUGGAAUUCCCGGUGUAGUGGUGAAAUGCGUAGAUAUCGGGAGGAACACCAGUGGCGAAGGCGGCUCUCUGGGCCUUUCCUGACGCUGAGACGCGAAAGCGUGGGGAGCGAACCGG
rnacentral:rRNA from 1 species